UAGCCGCAGAAAUCUGUGCUAAGGUAGCAUAAUCAUUUGUCUUCUAAUUAAAGACUAGAAUGAACGGUUAAACGAAUAGAAAAUUCUUAAUUCAACAUUAACUUAAAUUAUAUUUGUCGUAAAAAUACAACAAUAAAGUAAAAAGACGACAAGACCCUGUCGAACUUAACAUAUGUUAUACUGGGGCAGUACUUCAAUAAAAAUUUCAUUCUCAAACCUCAAAAAAUACCUUUUACAAAAUCUGAAGUUACCGUAGGGAUAACAGCGCAAUUUACUUUUAAAGUUCUUAUUCCAAAGUAAGAUUACGACCUCGAUGUUGAAUUAAUAUACCAAGCAAAUGCAAAAUUUUGAUAGAAAGUCUGUUCGACCUUUAAAUAAUUACAUGAUCUG
rnacentral:rRNA from 1 species